ensembl:lncRNA
AGUGUAAUCCAGGGAAGGUCAGGGUAGAGGCAUACCACAGCUGGACAAGUAAUAUUUGAGGAGCAUCCUGGAGCGCUCAGUUAAAUUGAAGACUACAGUGAAAUCCCUCUUUUUCUCUGAUACCAGGCUCAAUCUUCCUGGUUCGUAAUCACUGAUUAUGAAGCCUUGCUGCAUCUCAAACUGGACUGAUUUUUGUGCCAAAUGCAUAAAUGAAAUGGGAGCUUUCAAAAGAGUGAAAGAGUAUCAACCACAGAUCAGCAAAACAAAAGAACAAAGAAACAACAACAAAAAAACCCAACAAACAUUACAUUCCCCUUUUCUCUAAAUUGAAACUCCUUUACAAAAGGUACACUGAAGGCCCUUGACAUUUGACCUCCACCCUGUUGGUCAACACUAAAACAUUUAGUUAUUAACCCAAAGCCUGGAGAUUUUUCAGGCCCCAGACUUUUUACUGAGCUGGCAGCACAGAGAUUAAUGAUUUGCACAGGCUCACCCCACGGUGCCUGGCAGCUGGGACACAGCCACCAUGGCCUUUACUUCCGACAGAGAUAAGGCCAGGGCUCUGGAAGACAACGAGAUGGGAGAGAGGGCAGACUCAAAAGGAGGCCAGCAUCCCUAGCUGCAAAUACAAAGGACAACCUAUCAUGAAAGCAAGACUGUGAAUUUAGCAUCCUUUCCAACUUUUCAAUUUUACAUGGUAAGGUGCUAAAACAGUGACUUAACCUGAAAAAGUUCCAGAAUGGGAGAUGAUAUUUUAUGUUAAACCAUGGCUCAUCCCAAGUUGUAUUCAGCUGAAGUCCCCCAGGAGCAGGAUGAUGGUAUCUUCUAAACUUGGAAUGUGCAUCAAGCACUAAUGAGCCAUAAUAAUACAUAUUUUGCAUAUUUUCCUUGGAUUUAUUUCUUAUGCAUGCCUGUAUACUUUAAAAUAAGAUGCUGAUAUGAAAAAUGAAUCCACAUUGAAGGUUCAAGACAUCCAUAUUAUUCACAGCACCUCUGUGCUGCUAAACUUUUCAGAAGAUAUCAGAAAUGAGAGAUGCCUUCUUGGACAUAUCUGUGAUAAGCUAAUGUCUAGAUCUAAAGUACCAUCAAAUAAAUAGUAUUGGUCAGAUGUCUAAAAUUCCAGCAUAACAAUAUAUAUGUGAAGCAGCUGUGCAAUGUUUGAUGUUAGCUAUGUACCAAAUUUAAUUAGAUAUUUCUAUUUCUAGAGUAAAAUUGAUAUAGACUGAGCAACUGGGAAGGAUUCUUUGUCAGUUAGAGCCUGGCUCUGCUUCUCAGCACACAAAGCAAGAAAACCAUCUGUGAAGGGGCUCUGAAACAUGGGAUCUAGCCAAAGAACAGCAGCUGGAGAUCAGGAAAUUGCUUGCCAUGGAAUACAGAGGCAACACUUGAAGACAUAGCUUUAAGUCUCAAAAUGUAAGAUAAAUUUAAGAAAGUGAAGGUCCGGACCAAAAAAAAAAAAAAAAAAAAAAGCCUAAUUUUGCAGAGAUGGCAGACUAAGGUAUGACAUACUCCUACUCAAAACAACUGUACAUUCUUUGACUUCUUCCUUCCUGAUGGCCAAGAUAAGAUUUAUUUAACAACUACAAAAAUAUAUGAAGACUGCUGUGGUUUAUCUUUUGACAGUUCAGCUGAGAUGUUCUGGACUAGGUGGAUGAAAGUUGGUCCCUAACAUUCUACUCUAAGUUUUAAAUUUACUGGAUAACCACAAGAAAAAACAACAGGUUAAUUUCACAUGCUUCAGUACCUUAAGAGCUUUUCUGUCUAUCUAGAAAUAUUCCUUUAUUUGUUUGAUUUAUAUAUUUGCAAAGUUCUUCUCCUUCGUUAAUUACAAAAGGCAACAAAGAGUAAAAGGAGAAAUCUUAAAAUAUACCUAAAUAAGAAAAGAUACAUAUCUUGGAAAAUAAGUAUAUCAGAUCAUAACAAUUUACUGAUUUUUUUUUUUUUUAAUUUUUAAUCUGCAUAAUGUAAUGAAAUUAAAUCCUUUGCUUUUCUUGGCACAAGACCCAUUGGAAAAAAUCACGUUAUAUGUUGAAGUGUUCUUUUAUUUUUUUUACAAGAUAUGAAACGGGAAGGGUGGAGGGGGGAACAAAAUUUCUUCAGAGGGAAUAGCAGAGCUUAAAAACUAAAGCCAAACAAAAAAGAUUUCCAGACCAGCAACAUCCUCUGGCUGUUUGAUAAAAAGCCUGAACAGCUACACAAGGUCAAAAUAGCGUGGUAGGAAGGGAUUUACUUUUUCUGCACAUAAAAUUGGAUUUUUAAGUUCAAGGUCUAGAUUUCUUUCUUUUACAUCUGCAGUACCUCUGGCAAAGAAAACAACCUGUUCUCUUUCACAUUUUAUAUUUAUAUGACCAUGAACAUACUAUUACGUUUCAAUAAACUCGUGUUUACAAGCAGGUAGUAAAAUGUUGAGAAAAUCAUGCUAAUAACUGUACAGAUAUCAGGUUCUGUUUUAAAUCUUUAGUUAUUACAGCUUGCUGUGGAAACACAGCAGUUUAAGCACUGAGUAUUAAAGAGUUUGUGGAGUGCUAUAAAUUUCAGAUGCAUUUAUGUUAUAUGGUACUGUGCAAAUCAUAAUCUGAAAGUCAGUUUCAUUUGUGCAAUGUGUGCUUUAAUAGAAGAAAAACAGUUCAAGCAUGUGUGCUUUCCAUUUUUACAAGGAUCUUAAAAGAUUAUUUAAGUUGAAGGAAAAGCAGCUUCGAAUGAAAUUUGAGCUACUACCUGAAGAAAAGAUGGCAAGGAAUAACUGAAAUGAUAAAGCACUUAGUAAAAUUCUAACUUUCUCUGUUUUAUGAGCAAUUAAAAAUUUUCUCUAACAUUCCAUUGAGGGGCAGGGAAGACGACAAAAUUACCUUAUGAGCAAUUCUAUCAUGCAAAUCACUUAAUCUGAUUCCGUGUUAUGGUUUGAUUCCAGUCAGUUCUCAACUACUGAUUAUUUUGAUACAUAACUACAUUAACAAGCAGGACAGCUUUGUUCCUUGGGCUGCGUGGAAGUGGAGCAUCUUUCUUGGUUUGCCCACAAAUAAGGAAAAAACAGAAAGGGAAAAAAAAAAAAAAAGGAAAAGGAAAAAGUGCAAAUGGGAAAAGAAGCAAACGCAGCGUAACAGUGCAAAGCUGUAACAGUCCUGGAGGAAACUCUCCAGAGAAAACAAACAAGUGGGCAGUACAGAAUGAGGGAACGCAAAACACCCUCAGUCACAGAGAUUUGAGAAGACAUAUUCUAUUCUAUUCUAUUCUAUUCUAUUCUAUUCUAUUCUAUUCUAUUCUAUUCUAACCCCAACACAGGGUUCUGCUGACCUUAGGAGGCUGCAAAGCAUUAGCAGUUUGGGGGUGCCUGCCAUAGUUUAUAUUACUGUGUUGCUAAAGUUUACCAGAACUAAAUGCUGGCAAACAUAUCCAUCAUAACCGUACGCAAUGUUACUGUGAGCAAUUGCAGUUGUAUCUUGCAGUGCUCAUGUCAUUAAAAGACUGCUGCCAUAGGUACACAUUUACCUAAUCACAGUCACUUUCUUCCCAGGAUAAUGCCACUCUUGAGCAUCUUUUUGCAAAUUUCUACUUGUAUUGGAAGUUCUUCAGCUAGCAAUUUCAAGAAAAAAGAAACCUGUUUAUAUUCAUCAUCUUCAGUAAUUUGUAAAAGGACCUACUUUCACCUGGACCUUGAAUGUUGCCUUAGUUACAGAAGAUGGCCAAAAUAAGAGAAUCUAAAAUAAAAUAUAGGUUGGAAAACUUCAGAGGGAAGCUGAUUUAUUUCUUUUUAAAUAGUGUCUAUGUCUCUUAAAUAAGAAAGAAUAACACAGCACUCACAGUAGAGACCAGUCUUACUGUUAGGUCUGGAAUAGGACACAGAAAUAUUUAUUUUGUCCUGUACAAGACUUCUGGUGAUUGGGGAUUAAGAGAUAAAUUCUAUCCAAAUACACUGUAGAAGUUAAUACCCUCCCCACGUUCCUUGCCACAGCCUACCAUCAUCACAAGAGUCAGGAGAAACUGUUAGUAACAGAGAAUCUGAGCUAAGACAAUACACAUGUUGUCUCCUGCUAAUAUUGCUGGGAGGCAGCAAUCUCUUGAGAAAGAAUACAGAUCUGGGUUUUAAAACCUAAGCUACAAUAACAAGAGCUGCCGGUGGUUGUAAAUAGCAGCAAGUAAACAUAGUGAUUCAAGAGUCAUUCUGUACUAGUAAAUGAGUAUUAAAUACAUUAAAUACACUGUAUUAUAUGAAUAACUGUAUGUUAGUCUAAAUAUAUGGCAUUAAUUUAACAAAGGAUUAGUUCCCACGAGUAGAAAAGAAUGCAACACCUUCAGAUAACUACCUAUCUAGCAACACUUGAGAGGCAAUACAAGGAUUGACCUCUUGUUGAACUCACCAGCCCACGUCAAAGAGGAAAGUCAUAGAGAAAAUGGGAAGGACAAAGGAUCUGAAACUGUUUUAAAACUCUAAAAGCACUUACUCUUCAGAAAUUGCACUCAGAUAAAUAAGAUGCCUUAUUUUUUAUAAAGAAAUCAAAAUUCCUAGGUUCCAAGAAAAGGGGGAAAGACACAAGUAAAAUAAUUAUCAACAUAGUUAUUUCAUCUGUUAUAAGCUACACUUUGUGGACUGUGGUCCCGCUAUUAAACAGUACUUUGAAAAGCCCUCCUGAUCACCAUUUUUGUCACUGGUCACAAAGCAGCAGGAGUUUGAACUGAUCCAGGGAUUUCACAAAACAAAUUGUCAUGGGAAUUACAAGUGGAAUUGCAUUCCGCUUCAGAAUCGGAGAUAGCUCAGACCUGAUCCCUACUGAGGUGUGAUCAAAAAAAGCAACACAAGAAAAUAUAUCCCUGUAGUCAAAAUGACAAGUCAAUAAAUACUGUUUUGAUAGUGCAUUCUUGUUAGUACUACAACAGUUAAAAUUGCUUGUCAGAACAUCCUGCACUACACAUGGUAACAUUCCUCAUGUUUGCUUUAACCUGAAGACUAGGGCUGGUCAUGGUCUUCAUACUAGAGUUAUCAUUGUUCUGUGUAUUCUGGGAGAUACAUAGAGUAUCACAUUUUUCCAUAAUGUACUUGGUACGUUGCUCUUUGAAAAUCAUCUAGAAAGCAUAAAACUAUUCCUGUGUUCUCAAGCAAAUGUAUCACUCCAGCAAUAGUAAAUAACACAACACAUAGCUCAGGGAAUUCAAUUUCAAUUGGAUUCAAUCUCCUAAUUAUUUUGCAUAAUUUCUUGAUGUGAAACUUCAAUACAAGUAGUCAGGGACCUUAAAAUCUUUGUAGUAAGUAGCAGGGUUAUAAGUCUCAUGUGGUUAUUUCUAGUAUUCUUUGAGAAAGAAAGAAAGAAAGAAAGAAAGAAAGAAAGAAAGAAAGAAAGAAAGAAAGAAAGAAAGAAAGAAAGAAAGAAAGAAAGAAAGAAGAAAGAAAGAAAGAAAGAAGAAAGAAAGAAAGAAAGAAAGAAAGAAAGAAAGAAAGAAAGAAAGAAAGAAAGAAAGAAAGAAAGAAAGAAAGAAAGAAAGAAAGAAAGAAAGAAAGAAAGAAAGAAAGAAAGAAAGAAAGAAAGAAAGAAAGAAAGAAAGAAAGAAAGAAAGAAAGAAAGAAAUAUCACCAUGACAGGCGAGCUAAAGUAUUUGACAUAGCAUUAUAUCUGACCAAAAUCCAACCACAUUUCUAGCUACUGAUCAAGAAGAAAUUCUAUUCUCCUCUGCUUCACAGACAUAUAAUAUUUAUAAUAUAAUGAUAUAUAAUAGUCAUCAUCUAUUUUAGAUUGUUUUUAUAUGGGUAACAGAUAUUAGAAUGCAGCCACUACUUCAAUUCAAACUAAGUCAUGGUAUCUCUGCCUGCGGUAAAAUGCAACAUGCUUUAGGGUGCCAGGAGAGGAAUACCUAAAUUGAACAUUAGAUAUAACAGACUUUCAUAUCAUGUAAUUAAAAAUAUACUGUCAUUGUUUUUGGAGACGUUCUCCUGUUGGAUGCCUUUGUUUUAGAGUAUUUCUGGUAAUUAACACACUGUGACAGACCAUGGAAACUAGGCCAAAAUUUUUAAAAAAAUUCUCAUCCAGAGGCUUGGUGUUUAAAGUGGCUAGGCUUGACAACAAAAAGACUCCUUACCAGACUGCAGAUAAACAAGAGCAGACUUAGAAAUGCUUUUUUCUUUUCUCUCAUCCAGCAGUGAUCUAACUCCCAGCACUCAGUGCACAGUAGAAACUCACUUUCUCCUUUCCCAGGAGAGACUUUGUUUUUUCUCUUUGUUCAACACAUGAAAAAAAAUAAAAAAUCAGGAAGAAAUUUCUUUUAGUUCUAUUUCAGCUGUGGUUGGUCCAGUAGGAAAAUUAACCAACACGCUUGUAAAAGCUGUAAAAACUCCCCUGAUCAACAUAGGGAAGUUAGGCUGUAGUCAUGCCUAUACCUAGCAUCAUUUCUGCUUAUCCAACGAGAGCUUAAUGCAAGAGGCAGUAGAAUGCAACAGGAAACAGAUUGCCUGUUUUCUAUAAGAAUUUUCCUCCUGCUAGGACAGCACAUGAAGCCAUGCCCUUGGCCUAGAGUUUGUGUUCUUCUGCUGUGCUGCAGCCCCCUGAGCCACUAUGUAACCUCAGUGUAAGUCAUCAUUGUCCUUUUGCUUUUUUCAAGUGUAGUGAAUUUGGACAAUCAGAUACUCCUGACAAUACCCAGAACUCCUUCUUCUUCAAUCGUAACCUGAUCUGAGAAGUAUCAGAACAGUCUGGGAGUUCUGGAAGUGUAUGGUUGGGAGAAAAUUCCAGAAUUGCCUCACCUGAAAUAUGGCUAAAAUGCAAAGUUUUCUGACUAAAGUAAAUUAUCUCAAGGUCAAAUAAGGGUCCUAAGAAAAGAGCCCCUUACACUCUCAAAGCCCACAGUAGUCUAUGAUGUCUCCUUGAGCUGGGAUACCUCUGAGGGUAGGCUUUUUUUUGAGGUGCCUUUUGAAGUAGAAGAGUCCUUUAUAGGAUAAUAUCCCAUCAUCCACUGAGGGCCAGUGACGAGGGGGGAGAGUAGUUCACCAAAUGGGAGAAGUUCCUUGCAUGCAUGACUAAGUUUAGAAAUCUCCCCUUAGAAUAUCUUGUGUGUUAAGUUUCAGGUGAACCUUGCUAUUCUUAAAACUUUAAGUCACUGUAUUUGAUUGUAGUAAGCUCCAUUGAAUCAUUCUGUUAAAAUAGCUAUUGAUUGAGUUCUGAUUAAGUGCUACUAAGAAUCAUACAAUUCUAACCCUGUGUCAUGGUUUUAUGAUUUUUGAUUACUGGUAUUCCACAUCAUAACAUCACAUAGUGCACUGGGAGUUAAAGAGUUAAUGUUCCAGUUCCAGGUGCCUGUCUGGAAGAGAAGAACUACAUACCCCAGGGGGCUUUGCAGUCAGAGAGGAGAUAUAACCUCUGGCAAGGUCACCUGAUGGCCCUUUUUUUUCCUUAGUCUCUCCUCCCUGUUGCUCAUCCUGACCGCACACAUCACCUCAGCACAACUGUAAGGCCUACAGCUUUCAGAUACUCUCUCAUUAUAUUUGAUUUAUUUGCUUCAGUUCUAAUUAUAUUGUAUUAUAGUGUGUUAUCUUGCAUUCCAAUACCUUAUUUAGAAAAUUAGCUUGUUUCUUCUCAGAUCGCUCAGAUCGUUGCUGCUGUUUUCAAUUAUUUUGGGGUCCCCUGUUUCCCUUUCCUGAAGGCAUGGAUUUUGCAAAAUCCCUCCACCCCACUAGUCACAGAACCGGGCUGAACCAGCCUGUAAACUGUUGACACCCUGUGAUAUACUGUAAAAGUAUUAAUAAACCCAAAAUCACUGCUAAAACUAGAAUUAUGUUCAAUCAAUCCACCACACCUGGAAAGCCAAAAUAUACAUACAUUUUAAAUUAAAUCCUUUGAGAAUGAAGAAAGAAUUGAACCUGGCUUUCAGUAUAUAAGAUACAGAUGAGUACAGUAGAAUUAUUCUAUUACAUUGCUUUGUGAAGAACCCAGAUGGAGAGGCGUAUACUCAUUAUUCUCUGAGAACACCAGUAGAUAGGCAUGGACUAUAGACAUGGAUAUGCUUUUCUCCUGGACCCCAGGUACCAAUAUUUCUUACCUGAAAAGAACCAAUGCUAUUCAGGAAACUUUUCAGUGAAACUGAGAUUGUGUGAUGAAGAGAUUGAAAGGUUUGGUCCAGGUUAGCAAUAGGGCACAAAUCCCUGUCACUCUUUGCCAUUCAUUGUAAGAGGAUGUUGAUCCAGCCAUGAACUGAAUGUCGAUCCAUUCUUGAAUAAGAGUGGGAAAAUUUUAAUAAACCACAGUUCAUUAAAAAUACUGACUCUCAUUACUAUGUUGGUGCUAUAAAGGUAUUAUCAAAUGAAAUAGUAACAAGAAACAUUAUUUCUCAUCAGAAUCAUUAGACUACAGAUUCUCUAGGCUUAGAUCAUAGAAUCAUAGGAUGAUUUGAGUUGAAAGAGACCUUAAAGACCAUCUUGUUUCAACCUUCUGCAAUGGCAAGGGACACCUUCCAGUAUAUCAGGUUACCCAAAGCCCCAUCCAGCCUAACCUUGAACACUCCCAGGGUUAAGGCAUUCACAGCCUCUGUAUGCAAACUGUUCCAGUGCCUCACCACCCUCAUAUUGAAGAAUUUCUUUCCAAUGUCUAAUCUAAAACUACUCUCCCUAGAUUAAAAGCUAUUCCCUCUUGUCCUAUCACUUAAUGCCUUUGUAAAGAGUUUCUCUCUGGCUUUCUUGUAGUCCCCUGUUUUAGAUACUGGAAUGUCAUUAUCAGGUCUCCCCCAAGCCUUUUUUUCUCCAGGAUGAACAGCCCCAGCUCUCACCCUGUCUAGAUUUGAAUCCAAACCAUGUUACUAAGUCCCUGCCUAGAGGAGAACAGAUUUAGAUUUUUUUUCCCCAGGAAAUUAAAAAGAUUAACAGAGUUUCAGUCAUAAAUCUAGCCUCAUACUUGGUAACAGAACUAUAGGAUAUGUUUAAAGUGUUCAGAUUCAGAAAACUUAACAUACUCUUAAGCAAACUCCCAUCUUUAAAAAUAGAGUAAAUCUUUAACUGAUAUCUUCAUAAAUCUCACAUGUUCAUAUUUGUGUUUUUAUUUGGGAUUGAAAACACUGAUGAAACCAUAUAGAGCUCUAACUGAAAAUUACCACUUACCUUUGGCAGCAGGACUGCAUCUGCAGACUAUGCUGAAAUGCUGAUGUACAUGUCCCUGACUCAUCCCAUUUAAAAAUAAUACUGAGGGUUCUGGCAGAUGUCUUGUAGCAGCUUCCAGUGGUUAUUACAAUAUAAAGGUGAGCAACUGCCUAAACACAGAACCCAAUUGCUGACAGCUGAUAGGAAUAAUUGUUGGAGCAAAUCUUUGAAUAGUGGGUCUUAGAAUAUAAACUGUCGUGCCCAAUUUCACUGACUGACAGUUUUUAGUAUUUGAGUAGGUAAAGCACUGUGAAAAUUCUUCACUUCAUAAGCAUUUUGAAAGUGAUUUUUGACAUAUAAACUUUUGGCAGCAAUUUUCAAGGGGGUCAUCUAAAAUGACUGAUACAGUAGUUAGUGUGAUGCAGGCAUAGCACAUUUAACAGUCACUGAGCUUCGAAUAUGACACAGUAUGAUCCUAAUUACAGCACUGCUAGCAAGGCAUAAAGAAGUAGCUCAUAGUGCUUGACAUGUAUUUUAUGACUAUGAAAAAAGAAAGACUUCAACUAGUAAAAUUAGGACAGAGCACAAAGCUUUGCUACAUUUUACAGAUAAGAAAAUGACAUUUACUGGCAUGAAAAAGAUGUUGAAAAGGGAAAAUAAGGUAAAUCCCAACUUGGGUUGUUUUUGGGGAUUCUGAGUUAUAUAUAUUCUAAAUUAUGUAUAAUCUAUAUGUCACAAAUGUCACAAAAUAUUUACAGCAUAUUGCAGUUUAGGUUUUCCUACAUGCUAAGAAAUAUGGAAGUUGAAGCAACAAGAUUUGGAUUCUGGGGCCAGCUCCCAUGCCAAAAUUCAGUGGUGUGAGGAAUUGCUUCUGUUAGGUGUUCUCUUAUUAUAGCAAUGGACAUUAUUUAUAUCAAGAGUGACCUUGGCUCUAUGGUUUUAAUUCUGUUCCACUGAUGGCUUUUCACUUGAACUGCUCAAUUCACAUGGACCUGAUGAGUCAUUUUUGUGAAUACUUUUACAGCUACAAAAUGGCUAAUUAAAUAGCUGUGUAAAAUUCUUCCUGGAAAUAUUCUUUCUGAAGGGAAUCUAGUGAGCUUUCUUACUGUGUUUUGUACACGUAUGCAAAGGGUGAGAUCCAGAAAAAUUACCUUUGGCAUAAGACCUACAGAAAAUAUUUCAGAUCUGACCUUCUUUUCCCUGAAAAACAUCCCAAUCAGUUUUCUGCACCAUUUCCCUAUUUUUUAAAAUUGAUAGCACAUUUUCUUAUGUGCAAUUAAAUUUUAAAGGAUAAAUAUUUGUUUAGAACAGAUUUUCAGUUGUUUUCUUUUUCUCCUCUUGAAUUUACUAUUCAAGCCUCUGUCUUCUAUUGUCAUUUUUUCUUCUUCACCUUUUAGAAAAAGAAACAUUUUACAUCCCAGAUUCAUGAAUCCUUCUGAGGCAUGAUGUUUUAAAGCUGGGCUGGUAGACCUGAAGUCAUGAUGAUCAGCAAAGUACAGGGGUGAUCCAUGAGGUUAAGUUGUAUUUCAAUGAUCUGAUUGAUCCAGAAUAUCUGAAAUAUCAUGACAUGCCGUGCAACCUAUUAAGACCAGGAUCCAAUGUGAGCAUGGAUAAGCAAAUCAAAAGAAAGCUGUGCCAGCUACACAGAAGCUGCAUGAAUGAGAUCUGUGUAUCUGAAAAGCUCAUGGGAAGGAUAAAUUAUUUCAAGAUUGAUUUAAUGGAAAGACACAGGUUGAAUGAUUAUUCUCAUUUCCAGUUCUCUAAAAUGGGGACAACAUUGACCCAUGAAUUUUCCUGAAGUGAUUGACAUAGAAAGAAAAGUGAAAAAAUCAACUUAGAAAAAGAUAAAUAAAUAAAUAAAUAAAUAAAUAAAAUGCACAAUUCCAUCCAUACUAAAGAACUGCAGUAUUUUAUUUUUCAACAAUUGCACUAAACUUGGUUAAGGGAGAAAAAACUAAAUACAAAAAUUGAAGCAUUUCUGGUACCAAAAAAAUUGUAAAAAUUGAUACCAUGGAUCACAACCCAUAAAUAUUUGAAUCAGCAUGUUUAUUUCACAGAUCCAAGUGAGAUCUGCAGCGUAGAGGGCCUGCAGGAUUCUUCAGAAGGAAGCCUGACAGGUUGUCGCUGACACAGGAGAAAGAUAAAAAUUAUGCUUUAUCAAACCGCAUUACAGCUGUAGUACUCAAAAACAAAGCCUGUGCCUACAUGAAUAUAUCUGUUUCCACUUUCACAUCUCUCAGAAAAUCCUGAAACUUUAUUUUAUAACACAAAUAAAUAAUACAACUGUUAAAAUUUUCAAUUAUAUUUUAAUGUACUAUGAGGGGCUGCACUGAAAGUAAUGCUUCCUAUGUUAUUAUCCUGUGUGCAUCAGUUCCUCCCUCCCCCACGGGACCUCAUGGGGCCAGGGCUCAGCACUUCAACUCACACCCCACAGUCUGUCGCAUGAUGUAAUGAUAUGAAAUAGUGAUAAAACCAGGACAGUUAUGUUGAUCCAUGACAUCAGAGGAAGAUGCUGGUGGUAUGACUGUAGAGGUUGAACCUUCCCACCAAUAUUCUGUUACAUUUCGUUACCGUGUGACAGAUGGCAGCAGAGGGGCAGCCUGACACAACAGUGUUGGACAUGGAAGUGCGUGUGAAGCAAAGGUGUGUCACUGAAUUCUUCCAUGCAGAAAAAAUGGCACCCACUGACAGUCAUUGAUUCUUGUUGAACAUUUAUAGAGACCAAACAGUGGAUGUGAGCACAGUGAGGCAGGGGGUGGUGCAUUUCAGAAUUGGUGUCAGCAGCAUGUAAGACAAGCCAUAUUCCAGAUGGCCAUGCAGAUGUUCACAAGCACAGCAUGCAGGCUCUUGUUCAUCACUGCUAAAAGUGCAUGGCUAAUGAUGGUGACUAUGUUGACAAAUACUGUUGUGUAAGUGAGAGUUUGUUCUGUCAAAUAGUGUUUUGCUCUUUGUAUCUUCUGUAAUUUCCAUGGAAAUAAAUAGAAGACAUUACUUUCAGAGUGACCUAUACAUUUGGUUCAUACCAUGUGGCUGAAAAAAAAAGAAAUCUCUUGUAGAUUCUGUGAGCAGCACGUGAUGGAAAGGAUAUAAUUUAAUGCAGAAAGAAAUAAAAAUGUUGCCCGUGCAGUUUGACCUAAUCAAGAUCAAUCCUCAAUUCAGAUACUCAUUACUACACAGAAAUGCCAUCUAAUUUUUUCACAUUUUUUUUAAUACUUGAGAUAAAAUGAGUUUGAGUAUCAGCAUCUAC